rnacentral:misc_RNA from 1 species
AAGUCGUAACAAGGUUUCCGUAGGUGAACCUGCGGAAGGAUCAUUAUUGAAUAAACCUGAUGUAGUUGUAGCUGGCUCCUAGGAGCAUGUGCACGCUCGUCACUUUUAUCUUUCCACCUGUGCACCCAUUGUAGGCCCGGAUAACCCUCGCUUGGUUUCAAGCGGACGCGAGAAUUGCUGCUGCUCUUUCUGCAAGGAAAGGCCGGCUUUUUUCGAAUUUCCAGGUCUAUGUUUUCUUACAUACCCCAAUUGAAUGUUACCGAAUGUUAUCAAUGGGCUUAUGCCUAUAAAACACAAUACAACUUUCAGCAACGGAUCUCUUGGCUCUC